UAGAGUGGUGAGGAGGAGUUGUUUGUUUUGGUAGCACCUAUCACCGUUGAAAUUAUGUUUAUUUUUUGUGAUUUUUCUGAUUAAUUUCUGUCUUUUAGCUGGAUUGUAGGCUCCAUAAGUCAAAGAUCAUGUAUAUGUUUAAUCUUCUGCCAACCUAAAUAACAAACAGAGAGAGGCUCUCUAAAAGAAAAUGAUAUUUAUUCAUGGACAGGGCAUUCCAAUGGGACUAUGUGUGCCAUAGUCACCUAUAUGUGUAUUCAGGGAGGUAAAGGCUUUUAAGGGAAAAGUGAAGAGAAUUACAUUAAUUGUUUCUGAGAUAAUUAUCCUUGGCUUCAAGGAUCAAUAACAAAGGUGGCGCCAGUUUGAGGUUGGACAGGCAGUUGCUGGGUAGACGCCCUUGCAGAAGUAUUUUUUUGUGCAAGGUUGUGGUUUCUGCAGUCUUUGGGGAUAGUUCUGGGUAUCAAGCAUACAAGCCUGGGAACUCUCCCUUCAUGGCUUUCCCCACCUCUAUUUGUCAGAGUUUUUAACACAAAUUACUCCAUUUUGAUUCUGACAACUUUCACACUCUCAGUGCCUAUCUCAAUACCUAGCACCUAGUAAGCAUUCAAAUAUUCGUUGAAUAAACAGAAUCCCAAAGAAUAAACUUGAAUGGUGGCUGGAGCUGGGGAGAUGGGAGGGGGAUGCCCACCCCAGGCCCAGUGAGCAGAGAUGUUAUUGGAGAUAACAUGCUCGUGCUAAGGUCAUAGAGAUGAUUUUGUAGCAACUUGACAACAGAAAGAUGCUGCCUCCUUUAAAGUGGCUAUUUUGCCAAGGUCAUAAGUUAACUGAUUUUUAUUUUAUCCCUUUCCUCUUCAAUAUAUUUCCCUAUUCCUUAAAAUGUCCACAUCAACUCUGCCAAAUGUAUCAAAAGAAAUGGCAGAAGUAGGCUUAGUUUGGCUGCCUCCGUCCUGCCAUAGCCGGAUUCACAUAGACCUUUCCCAUUUACAGAAAUGAAAACUAGGAAUCCUCCAUGUCUGUGUAUAGUGUUACCUUUACUUGAAAAUUGUGUUUUCACAUUAUGUUGUGGUAUCUCAUGUGACUUAAGAUGCCUCAUAUUAUAUUUAUUAUAUAUUUAUUUGGGUGCCCAUUUUAUAUUUCUUUCUAAAUUAUAAGCUCUUUUUCUUAUUCUUCUUGGGUGUCCUCUCUUCACAUAGCACAUAAAAGACAUUCAUAUAUUGCUGGUUAAACAACACUGUGGAGAUAUGAAAAGGCUAGCACAAAGGUGAAAAACUUUUUUCAACCUGUGGUUUCAUCAAAAGAAAGUGCCCUAUUCCCUGAUGCUUAUUUCUUACACGCAAUUCCCUACUGAUCCACAGCAGUUGGAAUAUCACACUCAGAUGAAAUUAGCACUUCAGGGAGGAAACUGUGACUAUCUUGCUCUUACUCUUACAGACUGUUAAGAUAAUAAACUGAAUUCCUGGAACCAAAAAUAAACUUGUCUAUGAAGAGUAUAUGCUUAGAAUUAGACAUAUCAAUACCUAUAUAAUUCUUUUUUUUUUCCUUCCUCAAAGUGAGUGCAACUUGCUGGGACUAUGAGAUGGGGAAGAAAGUCUGAUGAUUCCAAAAGAAUGAUCUUUCAGUGUUUGCUUUACCCCAGUAUUUCUUGCAAAAGCAACUGUACAAAAUAACAUCAAAAGAAUAGCAAAAACAAAAAAUAAUAGAAGUUAGACAAGCAUGGUGGCACAUACCUGUAGUCCCAACUACUUGGGAGUCUGAGUGAGGUAGGAGGAGCACUUGAGCCUAGAAGCUCAAGGCUAUAGUGGGCUAUGAUCAUGCCUGUGAAAAGUCACUACACACAAGCCUGGGCAUUAUAAAAAGA
rnacentral:lncRNA from 1 species